rnacentral:rRNA from 1 species
GUGCCAGCAGCCGCGGUAAAACGUAGGACGCAAGCGUUAUCCGGAGUUACUGGGCGUAAAGCGCGGGCAGGCGGUUCCUUAAGUCUGAUGUGAAAGCGCCCGGCUCAACCGGGCGAGGCCAUUGGAAACUAGGGAACUGGAGGGCAGUAGAGGUAAGCGGAAUUCCGGGUGGAGUGGUGAAAUGCGUAGAGAUCCGGAGGAACACCAGAGGCGAAGGCGGCUUACUGGGCUGCACCUGACGCUGAGCCGCGAAAGCCAGGGGAGCGAACGGGAUUAGAUACCCCAGUAGUCC